rnacentral:lncRNA from 1 species
CGCCUUUUUCGAAGACUCUAGCUGCAAAACUGGAAGCCGUCGGUGGGGCAAGGCAGAGAAGAGACCACGUCUGGCGGAUGAGUCCUGUGAUUAUCAGGUCACCUGGGUAACGCCCAACCACGACGGGCUGGGUCUCAGCGCGAGGCCUGCAGCCCGGCGCCGACUGGAAUCCCCAGCACUGCCGUCUGGAGGACAUCGGCGGUAUCUCCCCAAGAGACGGGAAGUCUGUGUGUCGAAGAGGCGCGGGACGCAAGCCCACCAACCUGGCCGACCCCAGGGAAAGGCCGAGCGUCCAGCCCGCGGGGGCCCAAGAUGGUGCCAGAGUUCGAGGCCCUCUGUGCAUGCACCCCGCCCGCCUUCGAAUCUAGCCUGUUCGCCGUUGUGGUUUGUCCUCCCGGUUCCUCUGAAGGAGUUGGUCAGUAGAACCAUGGCCUCCAUUGACUACGUCCUCAGAGUCGCAGCUCUCUUCAGUCGAGCUCCAGUCACAGAGGACGGUUGUGGUGAGACCCAGGCAGAAGUAUUUCCGGUCAACGAGGUCGCGGGUAGUGCGCAUGCGCUUCGUGCAGGGCCCUGCGCAAGGGCGCCUGGGAAACCUUGCGAGAAGUGACACACGCCCUGUCCUCAGGGAGCCCACGGCCGACUGGGAAACAGGAGAACGGGUCAAACGUGGGACGUCCGUCAGCUAUACCGAAAGUUCACUCCAACCAGGAUUUGCUGCCACUCUACAAAAUCUUCUCAAGAUCAACAAUACCCUCUGCCUGACCAACAUGGUGAAACCCCGUCUCUACUAAAUACAAAAAAUUAGCUGGGCCUGGUGGCUCUUGCCUGUAAUUCCAGCUACUUGGGAGGCUGAGGCAGGAGAAUCGCUUGAACCUGGGAGGCAGAGGUUGCAGUGAGCCGAGAUUGCGCCCCUGCACUCCAACCUGGACAACACAGCGAGAUUCCGUCUCAAAAAAAAAAAAAAAAGAAAAAAGAAAAAACACACACACAAGAAAACAAAAAACAAACAAAAACUACAUCAGACACUUUCUAAGGAUUAG